CCUACGGGGGGCAGCAGUGGGGAAUAUUGGACAAUGGGCGAAAGCCUGAUCCAGCCAUGCCGCGUGUGUGAAGAAGGCCUUCGGGCUGUAAAGCACUUUCAGUGGGGAAGAAAGCCUUGGGGCUAAUACCCUCGAGGAAGGACAUCACCCACAGAAGAAGCACCGGCUAACUCCGUGCCAGCAGCCGCGGUAAUACGGAGGGUGCGAGCGUGAAUCGGAAUUACUGGGCGUAAAGCGCGCGUAGGCGGUCUGAUAAGCCGGUUGUGAAAGCCCCGGGCUCAACCUGGGAACGGCAUCCGGAACUGUCAGGCUAGAGUGCAGGAGAGGAAGGUAGAAUUCCCGGUGUAGCGGUGAAAUGCGUAGAGAUCGGGAGGAAUACCAGUGGCGAAGGCGGCCUUCUGGACUGACACUGACGCUGAGGUGCGAAAGCGUGGGUAGCAAACAGGAUUAGAUACCCUAGUAGUC
rnacentral:rRNA from 1 species